GAUGAACGCUGGCGGCGUGCCUUAUACAUGCAAGUCGAGUGGGUUUAGACCCACGGCAAACGGGUGAGUAACACGUAGGUACUUUCCUUGUCACAGGAAUAACCCUCCGAAAGGAGGGCUAAUACCUGAUGUGAUCGCAAGAUUAAAGGGUAUCCGCAAGGAUUACCGGACAAGAAGAGGCCUGCGGCCUAUCAGCUAGUUGGCGGGGUAAAUGCCCACCAAGGCUAUGACGGGUAGCUGGUCUUAUGAGGAUGAUCAGUCACAUGGGCACUGAGACACGGGCACAACUCCUACGCGAGGCAGCAGUAGGGAAUUUUGCGCAAUGGGCGAAAGCCUGACGCAGCGACGCCGCGUGCGGGAUGAAGGCCUUCGGGUCGUAAACCGCUUUUAUAAGGGACGAACUUUGACGGUACCUUAUGAAUAAGAGGUUGCUAACUCUGUG
rnacentral:rRNA from 1 species